CCUGAAGCAGCCAUGCCGCGUGUAUGAAGAAGGCCUUCGGGUUGUAAAGUACUUUCAGCAGUGAGGAAGGGGGUGUCGUUAAUAGCGGCAUCUCUUGACGUUAGCUGCAGAAGAAGCACCGGCUAACUCCGUGCCAGCAGCCGCGGUAAUACGGAGGGUGCGAGCGUUAAUCGGAAUUACUGGGCGUAAAGCGCAUGCAGGUGGUUUGUUAAGUCAGAUGUGAAAGCCCGGGGCUCAACCUCGGAACUGCAUUUGAAACUGGCAAACUAGAGUACUGUAGAGGGGGGUAGAAUUUCAGGUGUAGCGGUGAAAUGCGUAGAGAUCUGAAGGAAUACCAGUGGCGAAGGCGGCCCCCUGGACAGAUACUGACACUCAGAUGCGAAAGCGUGGGGAGCAAACAGGAUUAGAUACCCUGGUAGUCCACGCCGUAAACGAUGUCUACUUGGAGGUUGUGGCCUUGAGCCGUGGCUUUCGGAGCUAACGCGUUAAGUAGACCGCCUGGGGAGUACGGUCGCAAGAUUAAAACUCAAAUGAAUUGACGGGGGCCCGCACAAGCGGUGGAGCAUGUGGUUUAAUUCGAUGCAACGCGAAGAACCUUACCUACUCUUGACAUCCAGAG
rnacentral:rRNA from 1 species